UUGGCGGUAUCCUCGCGGAACCGCACCGGCCACACACUGCAAGGAAGAUUGAAGUUAAGUGCAUAUUCCUUGACGAACGUGUAGCACGUUUCUGCUCUGAGCCGAAGGGACCGAGACAGAAGG
rnacentral:ncRNA from 1 species